rnacentral:rRNA from 1 species
AGUGGAGCCAAUCUUCAAAACACCUCUCAGUUCGGAUUGUAGGCUGCAACUCGCCUGCAUGAAGCUGGAAUCGCUAGUAAUCGCAAAUCAGCCAUGUUGCGGUGAAUACGUUCCCGGGUCUUGUACUCACCGCCCGUCACACCAUGGGAGUUGUGUUUGCCUUAAGUCAGGAUGCUAAAUUGGCUACUGCCCMCGGCMCACACAGCGACUGGGGKGAAGUCGUAACAAGGUAACCGUAGGUGAACCUGCGGUUGGAUCMCCUCCUUUCUA